rnacentral:rRNA from 1 species
AGUGAACGCUGGCGGUAUGCCUAACACAUGCAAGUCGAACGGCAGCACAGUAAGAUCUUGCUCUUACGGGUGGCGAGUGGCGGACGGGUGAGAAAUACAUCGGAAUCUACUUUUUCGUGGGUGAUAACGUAGGGAAACUUACGCUAAUACCGCAUACGACCUACGGGUGAAAGCAGGGGAUCUUCGGACCUUGCGCGAUUGAAUGAGCCGAUGUCGGAUUAGCUAGUUGGCGGGGUAAAGGCCCACCAAGGCGACGAUCCGUAGCUGGUCUGAGAGGAUGAUCAGCCACACUGGAACUGAGACACGGUCCAGACUCCUACGGGAGGCAGCAGUGGGGAAUAUUGGACAAUGGGCGAAAGCCUGAUCCAGCCAUACCGCGUGGGUGAAGAAGGCCUUCGGGUUGUAAAGCCCUUUUGUUGGGAAAGAAAAGCAGCAGGUUAAUACCCCGCUGUUCUGACGGUACCCAAAGAAUAAGCACCGGCUAACUUCGUG